AGCAUGUGGUUAAUUCGACGCAACGCGAAGAACCUUACCUGGGCUCGAACGGCUUUUGCCGGUCUUGGAAACAAGACCUCUAUGCGGUUUACCGUAUAGCGGAAGUCGAGGUGCUGCAUGGCUGUCGUCAGCUCGUGUCGUGAGAUGUUCGGUUAAGUCCGCUAAUGAGCGCAACCCCUGUCCUUAGUUGCCAUCAGGUAAUGCUGGGAACUCUAAGGAAACUGCCCUGGUUAACGGGGAGGAAGGUGGGGACGACGUCAAGUCAUCACGGCCUUUAUGUCCAGGGCUACACACGUGCUACAAUGGUCGGCACAAAGGGUUGCCAACCCGCGAGGGGGAGCCAAUCCCAAAAAUCCGGCCUCAGUUCGGAUUGCAGUCUGCAACUCGACUGCAUGAAGUCGGAAUCGCUAGUAAUCGCGAAUCAGCAGGUCGCGGUGAAUACGUUCCCGGGCCUU
rnacentral:rRNA from 1 species